AUUGAACGCUGGCGGCAGGCCUAACACAUGCAAGUCGAACGAGUGGCGGACGGGUGAGUAAUGUCUGGGACACUGCCUGAUGGAGGGGGAUAACUACUGGAAACGGUAGCUAAUACCGCAUACCAUCGGAUGUGCCCAGAUGGGAUUAGCUAGUAGGGGGGGUAAAGGCUCACCUAGGCGACGAUCCCUAGCUGGUCUGAGAGGAUGACCAGCAACACUGGAAGUGAGACACGGUCCAGACGCCAACGGGAGGAAGCAGUGGGGAAUAUUGAACAAGGGGGGAAAGCCUGAUGCAGCCAGGCCGCGGGUAUGAAGAAGGCCUUCGGGUUGUAAAGUACUUUCAGCGGGGAGGCGUUACCCGCAGAAGAAGCACCGGCUAACUCCGUGCCAGCAGCCGCGGUAAUUC
rnacentral:rRNA from 1 species